ensembl:lncRNA
GUGUUAGGAGUAUGACGGGAGUGUUAGGAGUAUGACGGGAGUGUUAGGAGUAUGACGGGAGUAUUAGGAGUAUGACGGGAGUGUUGGGAGUAUGACGGGAGUGUUGGGAGUAUGACGGGAGUGUUGGGAGUAUGACGGGAGUGUUAGGAGUGUUAGGAGUAUGACGGGAGUGUUGGGAGUGUGACGGGAGUGUUGGGAGUGUGAAGAGUGUUAGGAGUAUGACGGGAGUGUUAGAAGUUAUGACGGAGUUGUUGGGAGUAUGACGGGAGUUUUGGGAGUAUGACGGGAGUGUUGGGAGUAUGACGGGAGUGUUGGGAGUGUUGAGAGUAUGACGGGAGUGUUGGGAGUAUGACGGGAGUGUUGGGA